rnacentral:rRNA from 15 species
UUGUGUAGGAUAGGUGGGAGACUUUGAAGCAGGGACGCUAGUUCAUGUGGAGUCAUUGUUGAAAUACCACUCUGGUCACUCUGGAUAUCUAACUUAGAACCGUAAUCCGGUUCAGGGACAGUGCCUGAUGGGUAGUUUGACUGGGGCGGUCGCCUCCCAAACAGUAACGGAGGCGCGCGAAGGUGGGCUCAGGGCGGUCGGAAAUCGCCCGUUGAGUGCAAUGGCAGAAGCCCGCCUGACUGCGAGACUGACA